rnacentral:rRNA from 1 species
UACGUAGGGGGCAAGCGUUGUCCGGAUUUAUUGGGCGUAAAGGGCGCGUAGGCGGUUUCUUAAGUUUGGAGUGACAGUGGGUGGCUUAACUACCCAAGGCCUCUGAAAACUGGGGAACUUGAGGACCAGAGAGGGACAUAGAAUUCCGGGUGGAGUGGUGAAAUGCGUAGAUAUCCGGAGGAAUACCAAAGGCGAAGGCAGUGUCCUGGAGGGUGACUGACGCUGAGGCGCGAAAGCUAGAGGAGCGAACAGG